UUCCCUUCGGGGACAUUGGUGACAGGUGGUGCAUGGUUGUCGUCAGCUCGUGUCGUGAGAUGUUGGGUUAAGUCCCGCAACGAGCGCAACCCUUGUCUUUAGUUGCCAUCAUUAAGUUGGGCACUCUAGAGAGACUGCCAGGGAUAACCUGGAGGAAGGUGGGGAUGACGUCAAAUCAUCAUGCCCCUUAUGCUUAGGGCUACACACGUGCUACAAUGGGUAGUACAGAGGGUUGCCAAGCCGUAAGGUGGAGCUAAUCCCUUAAAGCUACUCUCAGUUCGGAUUGUAGGCUGAAACUCGCCUACAUGAAGCUGGAGUUACUAGUAAUCGCAGAUCAGAAUGCUGCGGUGAAUGCGUUCCCGGGUCUUGUACACACCGCCCGUCACACCACGGGAGUUGGAGACGCCCGAAGCCGAUUAUCUAACCUGUUGGAAGAAGUCGUCGAAGGUGGAAUCAAUAACUGGGGUGAAGUCGUAACAAGGUAGCCGUAUCGGAAGGUGCGGCUGGAUCACCUCCUUUCUAAGGA
rnacentral:rRNA from 1 species